rnacentral:lncRNA from 1 species
UUGCAGAGACUCCCAUGAUCAGACACGACUCAGGAAGUCAAAAGCCGUUGAAACAGUAGGCUACAUGUCAGAUGGGAGAAGAAAUCUCUUGGCAACAAGCAGUGGGAUCAAAGCAACAAGUUACCUGGUCCUGUUCCAUCAGAUGCUGGAGGCGUUGACCAUGGAGUGGGACAUCUGGCCUCAUCUCUAACCUUGAUCACCCCUUUUCUGUGCACUACAAUAGAUAGCUAGACAGGUCUGAAGGUCAACUCCCUAACUACAAGGAAUUGUUACAUCUGGGUUAGAGUUAAUUGUCUGGUUACUGUAAUUUCUACAUGGGUAAUGCAAACUGAGGAAAUGAAAUGCAACCAUCUGAGUGAGAUCAUGGCUGUAAAACUGUAAGAGGAAGAUGCAAUCCAAUAGGAGGUCGAUCACUGGCACUGCCUUUUUGAAUGCGAUCAACCCUUUGC